UCCCUGGUGGAUUAGUGGCUAGCAUGUGGUGCUCUCAUCACUGCGGUCUGGGUUUGAUUCCUGGUCAGGGAA